rnacentral:lncRNA from 1 species
UCAUAUCAUACCAUAUCAUAUCAUGGGAGGGCUAAAGGAUCAUUCAACAUUCAUCCACAUCAUCAACAUAUUAUGCAAUGCAACAUAUUCGUGAAUUCUAAUGCAAACAACCUAAUAUAUCUCAUGGCAUUCAUGAUGCGUGAAUCAUGCUAAGAAUUAAUUUAUUUACUUUAAAACAUAAAGAGUUUAUUCCACUCACCUCUGGCUGAAGCUCUACUGACUCUGAAGCGACCGACUCACUGCUGGGGUCCUCGGUUCCUCGGGUCCGAACCUACACAGGUGGACUCAAAUGAGGAACCAAACAUCUAUGAUCAAGACUCUAAAAUACUCCCCAAAAAC